GCGCCCGCCCUGAUCCCCCUGGGGCUGAGGGCCCGGGGAACUUCAAAUAAUGAAAAUAAGAGUGUGCCGACCCUGUACCGCAACCAACGCGGACUAGGGAGUACACGUCAAAUAUUCGUACUUAAAUAUUAGCUGUAAAGCACAGUUUGUAUUUGUCGUUAUGGCUAAACCGAGAGGUUUAUGCUGAGAGGUGGAAAACAGCAUGACUCUUGUCAGGGAGAAACAGGCACCUUUAAGCGAAGCCUCCCGUGUGUAUUGCUGGUGGAAAAUACAUUUAUCUGAUCGGCUGUGAGCAGUUUUGCCUCUCUUUUGCUAUGAAAAAGACAUGGCUUACUAUGGGAAUACAAAAUGUGAUGUAUUGCAGAAAAUCAAAUAAUGAGACUGCAGGAUAACUUCUUUUAAAAUCUGUUGACUUUACUAUGUUUUAAUCUCUAUGAAAUAAACUUUCUCUUGCUCUAUAAACCACAUUGCUUAUCAGAUGGUAACUCCAAUUAUUAUCCAAACUCAGUACAGGGGAGCUCCAAGGGAACCAUGCAGAACAAAAUGGGGAAAAUGAAAAGAUGUGAGGACAUCCCACCGUACACCUACUCAACAUUUAAAGGCUAAAUCCUCUUAGUAAAUGUCAGUCUUUUCAGGAGAAUCACAUUUCCCCUGUGAUUUACUUAGUGUCUGCUGUGUGCUGCACAUGCACAUCAAUUGGUCCAUUUCUUACUGCCAAUCACUACUUUAUUACUGCACAAAUAAACAUCCAUUGCUGACGGGGAUGUUUUUGGGCUGGCUGCUACAAAGAAGGAUGUCACAUGGCAGAGUGGGAACACCCCUAGGACAUGUCCCUGGUGCUUCGUAUGAGUUUUAGCAUUGGAGGAUGUCUGUAUUUGUGACCAGGCUUUACCCCUCUCUUACACAGUAUCAGAAGACAGCAUCUUAAGGGGCAUUUCUGGCUGUCCUCACAUUCUGCAGCAGAAGGGUUCAGUUAUGUCACAUUUCAUCCAUGAUUUAUACUUUUUGCCUCUAUCCACUUUCCCCCUCCUCUUAAUUCUUUAUUUUAUUUUUUGUGUUUUUCUCAAAUGGUCUUUGUUUAAAUGUUAAGAGUCUAUUUUCAUAUUAGUGUGUUAAUAUUUUCAAUAUCUGUUUAUUUUGCUGCAGAACACUCCAAAUGACCUGGCAAAAAAAGUAGCAGCAUUUAUAAAUAUAGCCAUUACUUUAAUUAUUCUGAUUUUUAACUUGCAGUGUAUUUUUAUGUGACUCAGGAGAUUAAAACAGAAAACAUUCCAGGCCACACUUAAUGA